GACGAACGCUGGCGGCGUGCCUAAUACAUGCAAGUCGAGCGAACGUUUUAAGAAGCUUGCUUCUUAAAACGUUAGCGGCGGACGGGUGAGUAACACGUGGGCAACCUGCCCUGCAGAUGGGGAUAACUCCGGGAAACCGGGCUAAUACCGAAUAAUCAGUUCCUCCGCAUGGAGGAACUCUGAAAGACGGUUUCGGCUGUCACUGCAGGAUGGGCCCGCGGCGCAUUAGCUAGUUGGUGGGGUAAUGGCCUACCAAGGCGACGAUGCGUAGCCGACCUGAGAGGGUGAUCGGCCACACUGGGACUGAGACACGGCCCAGACUCCUACGGGUGGCAG
rnacentral:rRNA from 1 species